rnacentral:lncRNA from 1 species
GUCGUUUGUUUAUGUUAUUUAUACGUGUUUCUCGUUUCUCGUUUUUUUUUUUAUAUAGAUUAGACCGUUGGUUUUCCCGUUUGAAUGGUUUUACACGUCUAGUAAUUUUUUGGCCCUUUAUAGCUUGUUGUUUGGUGUGAGCCAAGGCUGUGUGUUGAAGGCCAUUCAUUGACCUUUAAUGGUUUACUUUUAUAAAUUGUUAUUUGGAUGGAGAGUUGUCUCAU